rnacentral:ncRNA from 1 species
AAAAAGAGAAUUUCUCUCUUGUUUUAUUAUACAGUUUUAUUUUAUAUGUAAAUUUUUGUGUGAAAAGUAAAUAGUUUUUGAUAAGAAUUUUAUUUUAAAUUGCAGUGGAGAUUAUUAUUUAAAUAUAAGAAAUUAUGAAAUAGUAAAUAUUAUAUAUUACAGACAAAAUUUGUGCCAGCAGUCGCGGUUACACAGAUUGUAUAAUAAUAAAGUUUUAAUAGUAGUUAAUAUGUAAAAUGUGGAUAGUUAAAAGGAUUUUAUUAAGUGAAAUUUUAAAAUUUAAAUAAAUUUAUAUUUAUGAGGCUAGGAAAAUUUUUAAUUAGACUAGGAUUAGAUACCCUAUUAUUUAAAUAGUAAAUUUUUAUAUUAAAUUAGUAUCGGAUAUAUUUGUGAAACCAAGGAAAGUUGGCGGUGUUUUAGUCUAUUCAGAGGAACCUGUCCUGUAAUUGAUAUUCCACGAGUUUAAUUACUUACUUUAGUAAUUUAUAUAUCGUUGUAGAUUGAGUAUUUUUGAAGAAAGUUAAUAUUCAAGAUUUUUAUUUAGAAAGGAGUCCAGAUCAAGGUAUAGUUUAUAGGUAAGGAGAGAUGGGUUACAAUGAAAAUAUUUUUAUGGAUAAAUUUUUGUAAUAGAAUUUUAAAAGUGGAUUUGACAGUAAUUUUAUAGAAAUAUAUAAAAUGAUUUUAUAGCUCUAAAAUAUGCACAUAUCGCCCGUCGCUUUCAUUUAAAGUGAAAUAAGUCGUAACAAAGUAGGCGUACUGGAAGGUGCAUCUAGAAGCCA